GAUUUUCGAACUUUACGCAUUCAGACACAAUAAAAACCUCCAUAGGUACCGGUACUAAUAUGGAAAUGAAAUGGUAUAAAAAGUACCUUAUCACAUUAUUCGCUAUAAAUAAACACUAUCGCAAGAUUGCAACUUCCCAUACCAAAUGAAUAAUGAAAUCCGCGCGUGCUGCUAUUUUUUUCUCUUUAUAAAAUUAGGAGGAUAACUUUAACGUCUUAAACCCACCCAACAGGGUACUACAUAAAACUACGGAGUAGUUCAUACGUCUUGGUCCCUAACCAUGGAAAAUUCCCACGAACUAUAAACCUGGAGCUACUGAGGUAGCUAUCGUUCCUAUGAAAUAACUCAUACGGUCCCCCUACCGCCCCUACCAUCAAAAGCUGAUGCUAUAAUUAAACACUAUCGCAUUAUAGUAAGAUUGCAGCAUCCCGUCCAAACGCGGUUAUUUUCUUUCUAUAAAAAACACCAUGACUCCACAUCGCACCGCACGUAGCUUCAACGGCAGCUUCAACCACCUUAAAAUCCUGAACGGCCUCGACCAAAUGGAGAAUUUACAGUUAGGUAUGAAUAACAAUGCUGUCAUUCGAAAAAUGGAGGCGUUGCCGCCAUCGGUCCUCUUCGCCGCUAAUUUUAUGUAAGUAAGCGCUUUAAUUGUAAUAAUAAACUUCAAAUCACUAUUUCAGCUCUAAAUAAAAACACCCUACAUUUUG